CUUCCAGACUCCUACGGGAGGCAGCAGUGAGGAAUAUUGGUCAAUGGACGCAAGUCUGAACCAGCCAUGCCACGUGCAGGAUGACGGCUCUAUGAGUUGUAAACUGCUUUUGUACGAGGGUAAACCCCGAUACGUGUAUCGGGUUGAAAGUAUCGUACGAAUAAGGAUCGGCUAACUCCGUGCCAGCAGCCGCGGUAAUACGGAGGAUCCGAGCGUUAUCCGGAUUUAUUGGGUUUAAAGGGUGCGUAGGCGGUUUGAUAAGUUAGAGGUGAAAUGUCGGGGCUCAACCCCGAAACUGCCUCUAAUACUGUUGGACUAGAGAAUAGUUGCGGUAGGCGGAAUGCGUGGUGUAGCGGUGAAAUGCAUAGAUAUCACGCAGAACCCCGAUUGCGAAGGCAGCAUACCGGCGCCCUACUGACGCUGAGGCACGAAAGUGCGGGUAUCGAACAGGAUUAGAUACCCCUGUA
rnacentral:rRNA from 1 species